rnacentral:lncRNA from 1 species
UUAAACACAGUAAUUUCAGAGCCAGGGAGUUUUAUUCCCCUCUGGCAUUUACUCUGCCAUUGACAAGACAUGGCGCUGCUUAGGAUGCUGGAAGCAAGGCGUCCUCUCUCCACAUUCUCCAACCUGCAGCUCCUGGGCAGACACAAGUUCCUCUGUCUCUCCUCUGUCCUCUCACUGGGGACUCUAAUCCAGAACAGCUCUCUGCUCCCCACAGGCUCAGCAGUUUACCUUCAGGCACAGGGCCAUCUGCUGGCCAAACGCAGCGAUCAUGUGACAGCACGUGUGCCUUCAAACCAGGGCUACUUUACUAAUACAGACCCAACUAACAAGUUUUAUUAAAACAGUAAGUGACUGUCAGAGAGGUACAAAUCAGGAAAUUGAUCUGUUUCCUGAUGUCAUUUUGGUUUUAAGUUCCAUAGAGACAAGAAAGAAAGAGAAGGAUAUGCUGAAGAAUAAGCACAAAUUUUGGCUACACAGGCAGAACUGAGUAAUUGCUUAAAGGAAAACUCGGCAUACUCAUUUUCAUUAUCUAACAUUUGUCAUGUGGCUUCUGGGUCCCAAGCACUUUCAUCUGUAAGGCAGAAAAUCAGAAGCUUUAAGCAAAGAAACUUACACUGAGCCACACACUAGCAAGUGCAGUGGUAAAGGUUAGACCGCCCGCCCAGCUUAGUGAGCCGGGCCCUUGCAACUCCUCGGCUCCCUGCUCUGUCCUCAGCUGUGCUCUGCUGUCCUCUGCUGUCCUCUGCCAGCAAUGAACACUAAAAUGCAUGGACUUCUAGAGCUUUCACCCUGUGGCAGAAAACAUCUGGAUGCUAUUUCAACAUGAAGGGCCUUUCUUUUCCUAUAAAAGCUUCCAGCUUCUCAUGGUUCAUAGCAAGAAAAGGCCUUACUACAAAGUUGUUGACUAUAACAGAAAGAUUUUCAGAUUCACUGCUGUGAUUCUUUUGUAUUUUUAUCAACAGGCAUUAGCAUAACAUUUUUCAAAUUUAUAUCCACAGAAUUAAAAAAGUUUCCCCCCCUUUAUUAUAAAGCAAUAGCUGUUCAAGGUUGAAAACACAGCGUGCUGAAAAAUAGACAUUACUUCUCAUUGUUCAACUAGAACAUGUGACUUGCUUUUACAUAGCUGGAGUUGCACAAGAAUGUAUUCCAUUUUUUGUGGGUUUGUUUUUUGGUACCGGGGAUCGAACUUGGGUCCUUGAGCUUGUGAGGCAGGUGGUGGAACCACUGAGCUAAAUCCCCGGCCCAAUAUUCCAUUUUUUCCAUUAACAUUAUAUUUAUUU